GUGGGUAAGAAUUAGUUCAGAAGUGAUUUGAAGUCAUUUUUUUCUUCGUGUCGGAAGAUACUCGCU
rnacentral:tRNA from 1 species